UGUGAGGGCUUCCUGGGUCGAGCGGGCAGACGUGGCUGUGUUGCAACCCCGAUUUGGGGCCCAUGGUGUGGAAGGAAGGAUGGGGGUGGAUGCUUCCUCUGAGGGCCUCACAGGAGAGAUGACAAUGAAGUCAGAUCCAGGGCCGGUUGGUGAGGAGCUCCAGGUGCCAGACAAGGACGCCAAGGCCAUGGUGGGCACAGAAGACACACCUGGAGGCAAAGCCAGCCCAAAUCCUCAAAAUUUGCGGCCAAGUGUGUUCCACAGCAUCAAGUUCUUCGUCCUGUGCCACAGCCUGCUGCAGCUGGCACAGCUCAUGAUGUCCGGCUACCUCAAGAGCUCCAUUUCCACGGUGGAGAAGCGCUUCGGCCUCUCCAGUCAGACCUCGGGGCUGCUGGCUGCCUUCAAUGAGGUGGGGAACACAGCCCUGAUUGUGUUCGUGAGCUAUUUCGGCAGCCGGGUACAUCGGCCCCGUCUGAUCGGGUGUGGAGCCAUCCUUGUGACCCUGGCGGGUGUACUCAUGACUGUCCCGCACUUCAUCUCAGAGCCGUACCGCUACGACCACACCAGCCCUGCAGACAUGCCACAAGACUUCAAGGCUUCCCUGUGCCUGCUCAGCACCAAGGGCCCAGCUUCAGCCUCGUCCAACAGCAGCUGCUCUAGCUACACAGAGGUUCGGCACCUAGCUGUGGUGGGGAUCAUGUUCACGGCCCAGACCCUGCUCGGCGUGGGCGGGGUGCCCAUUCAGCCCUUUGGCAUCUCCUACAUCGAUGACUUUGCCCACAAUAGCAACUCGCCGCUCUACCUCGGUAUCCUGUUUGCAGUGACCAUGAUGGGGCCAGGCAUGUCCUAUGGGCUGGGCAGCCUCAUGUUGCGCCUUUAUGUGGACAUUGAUCGAAUGCCAGAAGGUGGCAUCAACCUGACCUCGAAGGACCCCCGAUGGGUGGGUGCCUGGUGGCUGGGCUUCCUCAUCUCAGCUGGCGUGGUGGCCCUGGCCGCCAUUCCCUACUUCUUCUUCCCCAAGGAGAUGCCCAAGGAGAAGCAAGAGCUUCGCUUCCGGAGAAAGGGCUUGGCAGUUUCAGACCCACCUGUCAGCAAGGGUGAGGAUUCCUCUUCUGAGCAGAGCCCUGCAGAGUCCCUAGAGAAGAAAGACAACCUAGCUCAGAUGGCCCCAGACCUGACUGUGAUCCAGUUUGUCAAAGUCUUCCCCCGGGUGCUGCUGAGGACCCUGCGCCACCCCAUCUUUCUGCUGGUGGUCCUGUCCCAGGUAUGCAUGUCGUCCAUGGUGGCAGGCAUGGCCACCUUCCUGCCCAAGUUCCUGGAACGCCAGUUCUCCAUCACAGCAUCCUACGCCAACCUGCUCAUAGGCUGCCUUACCAUCCCGCUGGCCAUCGUGGGCAUCGUGGUCGGGGGCAUCCUGGUCAAGCGCCUCCGCCUGGGCCCCAUGCACUGUGGCAGCCUUUGCCUGCUGGGGGCGCUGUGCUGCCUGAUCCUCAGCACGCCCCUCUUCUUCAUGGGCUGCUCUUCCCACCAGAUUGCAGGCAUCAGCCACCAGCCUGGCACCCAGCCUGGCCUAGAACUAUUUCCAGGCUGCAUGGAGUCCUGUUCCUGCCCCUCAGACGACUUUAACCCUGUCUGCGACUCCAGCACUCGUGUGGAGUACAUCACGCCCUGCCAUGCAGGCUGCACAAGCCGGGUAGUCCAGGAGGUUCCAGACAAAAGCCAGGUCUUCUACACCAACUGCAGCUGCGUGGCGGGGGGCGGCCCCGUGCCAGCCGGCUCCUGCGACUCAGCCUGCAGCCACCUGGUGCUUCCCUUCAUGAUCCUGAUCAGCCUGGGUGCUGCGCUGGCCAGUGUCACCCAGACGCCCUCCUUCAUGCUCAUCCUAAGGGGAGUGAAGAAAGAAGACAAGACUCUGGCUGUGGGGAUCCAGUUCAUGCUCAUGAGAGUUUUGGCCUGGAUGCCCAGCCCCGUGAUCCACGGCAGUGCCAUCGACACCACCUGUGUGUACUGGGCCCAGAGCUGUGGGCGUCGGGCCGUCUGCCGCUACUAUGACCACGACCUCCUUCGAAACCGGUUCAUCGGCCUCCAGUUCUUCUUCAAGAUAGGCGCUCUGGCCUGCUUUGCCUUGAUUUUGGCCAUCCUAAGGCAGCAGGACAAAGAGGAGAGGACCAAGGCCACCAUACCAAACCCUGGCCUGCAGCAGCAGCUGUUAGCAUCAGAGGCAAAGAAGGAGCCUGAGGAAUCCAGAGUGUGAGCUGUCCCAGGGCCCCAUCCUAGCCAAGAGUGGCAGCCACGUUUACAGAAGAGGAAAUGGUUCAGAAAGGAUAAGCAACUUGACAAAGAUUACACAAAGUAAAUGCUGGAGCCAGGAUUAGACUUCAAUUUUGUGAGAACUGGAGCUUAUACAACUCGGGAAGUUCUCUUUAAGCAAAAGAAUACAAAAUUAGGGCGAGGCAGCAGAAAACAUAUUCAUGUCACCAGAUGAUCUCUGAAUAUAACACUUUGAUGUCACGAUGCCAAAUGAGUUGGACUGUGGAUAGGAGGAGUCCUAGAAGGCAUUCUCUAUACAGAGAGGUUGGGGAUCAUCUAAAGCCUGGCUGUAGACCUCCAGUGGAGUGGAGAAAAAAGAACAGAAUUUUAGAGUCAGUUCAAAUCUGGACUCUGCCACUGACUCCUGGUGUGACCCUGAGCAAGAUUUAACUUCUCUGCCUCUCGGUUUCUUCACCUGUAAAGUGAGGUUGAUUCUUCUUACUUCUUGUACCGUAAAAAAGUAUGAAGACAAAAUAAUGGUAAUAUACCCAUUCACAGACAGUACACCUGAUGAUCAAUAUUUGUAAGUUUCCCCUCCCCUUCUCCUGUCCCUGAAGGAAUUUAGGGAGCACAUGGCAGUGGGAGUGGACAGUGAAGACAGAGGGAGGAGGCACACUGAGGGAGACACGUUCCCUCUGCCCUGCUCCGGCUGCCGCUCUGCCUGUCCCCUAAUCUCUCUUCCACUGUCAGCCAGGGCUCAGCCAGCCCAGUCUUAUCUCUUCCCACAGCCAGCCUGGGACAGCUUUUCUCAACCAGAUUUACAUUUUUAUUGAUUUCCUUUCUCCCUUCGAGCAGUCCCAGCAGUCCCUUCCUUCUGUUUCCCUUUUGCUAUAAAAUGGGCUAAUGCUGGAAACAGUUCUGGCACUGGCCAAGAAGUGAUGGUUCAAAUAUGGAUCCAUUGACCAUUCAUUCAUUCAUUUAUUCAACCACCCAACCAACCAACAAUUUAUAUGGCUGCUCUACACCCCUGUCCUGGCCCUGCUGGGGAUGCUGCCUUGGGGCCAGGAUGGGAAACUCCCAGUAAAAGCAGAUAAGCUGACAAAUAGUAACAAAAGAAUGAGUAGUCAUUUUGGAGAGGGGAGAAGGGGAUGCUAUGGAUUCUCCCUGGAGCCACCAUGGAAGGCUUCCCAGAAAAGGUUAAGUCAGAACUGGCCUUGAAGAUUAGGCAGGAAAUCCCCAGGUAGAGAAUAUGUGAAUGGGCAUGAGAAACUGUGGGAAGAGCAAAGAUAGGAACAAAUAAGAGAGCAAGAUGUGGGCUUCCCCGGUGGCUCAGGGGUAAAGAAUCGAACUGCCAAUGCAGGUGACACAGGUUCCAUCCCUGGUCUGGGAAGAUCCCACAUGCCUCAGAGCAACUAAGCCCGUGCACCACACCGACUGAGCUUGUGCACUAAGGUAGGUGAGCCACAACAACUGAGCCCAUGUGCCGCAACUACUGAAGCCCGAACACCUAGCGCCUGUACUCUGCAACAAGAGAAGCCCACGGACUGAAACGAAGAGUGGUCCCUGCUCCCAGCAACUAGAGAAAAGCCCAUGUAGCAAUGAAGACCUGGCACAACAUAAAUAAAUAAAAAUCACAUUUUUAUUAAAAAAGAGAGAGAGCAAAGGGUGUCUGAGAUAUGGUACAAGAGUGAUGUGGUUGGGAUGUACUACAUGUGCAGGGCCAUCAGGAGAGAGAGGAGAGCUGAAGCUGGAGAUACCUGUGGGGACCAAGCCUUGAGUUCCAGCUGAAGGCUUUGGAUGUCUUCCUGAGGGCAAAGAGGAGCCCUUGAAGCAUUGAUUGAUGGAUCAGUCAAUUGACUGGUUAUUUUAAGCAGGGAGUGACAUGACAAGAUUUGUGCUUUAGAAAGACUGCAGGCUGCACCAUGGGGGCUUUGAAUGGAAACAAGAAGCUGGAUGCCAAGAGCUCAGGCAGGAGACUGGUGUUCUAAUGAAGAGGAGAUGUAGGAAGCCUUGAACCAGGUCAACAGCAGCAUCCUAGAAGUUUGGACAUCUAAGAUGAUUCUUAAAAGAUGUGUAGGAACAUACCGGGUGGAGAAAUUGGGAACAGUGUCCAGGGAGAAGAAAUUACACAGAUAAAAGCUCAAAAUACAGAGAGUCCCUGUCAAGCUUGGGAAAUUUCCACUAGUUCAGCAGGACUACAGUGUAGUCUAAGAGAGAGAUCAUGGUGAAGGGAUGAUGCUGGAGAAGCUGGUUGGGAUCCUCGAUUGCUCUCAGUAUUCUCUGUCUCCUGAACCUAGACUCAGGUGGAAGAAGAAAGGGAGCACUGGCCUUGUGUGUACACAAGGUGUACACACCUUGAGGUGACCUUGUGGGGCUGUCUCCCCUGCAGACUGUGAGAGCUUCUCCAUGAUCACAGCACUGCACAGCACUACAUUUUACAAAGCCCCUUCACACUGAUCCUCAGAGCUGCCUGGUGAGGAAUGUAGAACAAAAACUAUCAUCUCCACACAGUGGCUAGAGAAACCAAGGCAGGAACUGGUCCAAGGUUGCUCAGAUAUCCCCCUCUUAAACCCUAGUGUUUUUUCUAAAAAACAUACUUGUCCCUGACUCACACACACACAACAGAUGUAGUAGCUGCUAACUGACGUGACAGGAACCUUCACCUUGAAGCUGGAGACAUUCCAGCUGGGAAAACAGAACCAAGUUCCCUCUGCUUUGGAAUCCAAUAGACAUGAGGACAAAUCCCAGCUCAUCACUUUCCAGGUGUGGGAAGUCAACUGCAUUCAUCUCAGCCUUGAUUUUCUCAUCAGAAAAUUGGGAGAGAAAGAUCCUAUGUUUCAAAGAGUUGUGAUGAGGGUUUAAUGUGAUACUGUAGCACUGUAGCAGUUAACAUUGCUGAGUAACAACUUAUCCCCGAAUUUAGCAGCUUUGUUGUUUUAUCUCAUACAAUUUCUGAAAGAGGGAAUGGCAACCCACUCCAGUGUUCUUGCCUAGAAAAUUCCAUGGGCAGAGGAGCCUAACAGGCUACAGUCCAUGGGGCUACAAAGAGUCAGACAGGACUGAGUGGCUGAGCACAGCACAACAUACAAUUUCUGAGGCUCAAGAACUCAGAAUUGAGAGAUUCUGGCUCAGAAUGUCUCGUGGGGUUGCAGGCAAGUGUCAGCCAGGGCUGCAGUCAUCAGAAGGCUCAACCAGAAUUGGAAAAUCCACUUCCAAGCUCCCUCUGUGAUUGUUGUCAGGUCUCCAUUCUUUGCUGCCAGUUGGUCAAAAAUUUCAGUUCCAUUUUACACAAGAGGCUCCAUGAGACUGCUUAUGACCUGGGGCUAACUUUCACUAAAUGAAUGAGCCAAGAAAGAGAAUCUGCCAAGAUGGAAGCCACGGUAUCCUUCAUAAUCUAAUCUUGGAAGUGACAUACCAUUACUUUUAUCAUACUCUUUUGGUCACAGACUAAACUUGGCACAGUGUGAGACAGAAACACACACAGGUGUGGAUACCAGGAGGUGUGUGGAUCUUUGGGAGCUGUUGGAAACAAGCUACCACAAGUGUCAAAACAGGGUCUGGCACCCAAUAGGUACUUAUUCAUUAGUAGCUGCUAUUACUCUCCCAGUGCUCACAGACUAGCCAAGGAGACAAGAUUUGGACAUGAAAAGAUGAAAAGCUUGGCAAAGUAGACUGUGAUGUGAACUGGGCAAUGUUUAAUUACAUGAUGGAAGAGGAUCCACAGGACAAAGGGGUGGAAGUAAAGAAAAGCCACCGGGCGGAGGUGGAGCUGAGAAGGGAGGCUUCAGGGAGGAGACAGAGGGUGAGUGUGGCAUGCACUGUUGGUUGCCUUCC